GCCCUGGUAGCUCAAUUGGUUAGAGCGUCGGACUUUUAUUAGUCUUAGAUUUAUAGACAUCCGAAGGCUGCGGGUUCGACCCCCGCCUGGGGCG
rnacentral:tRNA from 1 species